rnacentral:rRNA from 1 species
GACGAACGCUGGCGGCGUGCCUAAUACAUGCAAGUUGAGCGCUGAAGGUUGGUACUUGUACCAACUGGAUGAGCAGCGGACGGGUGAGUAACGCGUGGGGAAUCUGCCUUUGAGCGGGGGACAACAUUUGGAAACGAAUGCUAAUACCGCAUAAAAACUUUAAACACAAGUUUUAAGUUUGAAAGAUGCAAUUGCAUCACUCAAAGAUGAUCCCGCGUUGUAUUAGCUAGUUGGUGAGGUAAAGGCUCACCAAGGCGAUGAUACAUAGCCGACCUGAGAGGGUGAUCGGCCACAUUGGGACUGAGACACGGCCCAAACUCCUACGGGAGGCAGCAGUAGGGAAUCUUCGGCAAUGGACGAAAGUCUGACCGAGCAACGCCGCGUGAGUGAAGAAGGUUUUCGGAUCGUAAAACUCUGUUGGUAGAGAAGAACGUUGGUGAGAGUGGAAAGCUCAUCAAGUGACGGUAACUACCCAGAAAGGGACGGCUAACUACGUG